GCCGUUAUAGCUCAGCUGGUAGAGCAACUGACUUGUAAUCAGUAGGUCGACGGGUUCGAAUCCCUCUGACGGCA
rnacentral:tRNA from 1 species